rnacentral:rRNA from 1 species
GACGAACGCUGGCGGCGUGCUUAACACAUGCAAGUCGAACGGUGAAGCAGAGCUUGCUCUGUGGAUCAGUGGCGAACGGGUGAGUAACACGUGAGUAACCUGCCCUUGACUCUGGGAUAAGCGUUGGAAACGACGUCUAAUACCGGAUACGAGCUGAGACCGCAUGGUCAUCAGUUGGAAAGAUUUUUUGGUCAAGGAUGGACUCGCGGCCUAUCAGCUUGUUGGUGAGGUAAUGGCUCACCAAGGCGACGACGGGUAGCCGGCCUGAGAGGGUGACCGGCCACACUGGGACUGAGACACGGCCCAGACUCCUACGGGAGGCAGCAGUGGGGAAUAUUGCACAAUGGGCGCAAGCCUGACGCAGCAACGCCGCGUGAGGGAUGACGGCCUUCGGGUUGUAAACCUCUUUUAGUAGGGAAGAAGCGAAAGUGACGGUACCUGCAGAAAAAGCACCGGCUAACUACGUG